AUGACGUCUGAAGCCUCACUUCCAUCUGAGUGGUUCAGUAAGUGGUUCGAAUCUUGCCGACAUCUUGCCAGCUAUAGCCUAUAAACCCAUGGGAUCCCUUCAAAAUGUGUGGUUGUGAUAGAGGCGAGUUUUGGUUGUUUGGUACUUUGAUAGUUUUGCUUGUUUGCUUGUUUCGAUGGAGCCAGCAAGAAAGAGAAAGACUUCCCCUGUAUGGGAAUUCUUUUGAUCAGGCCUACAUACAUUUUUAUCAAUGCAUUAUAUUUGUUAUUUUUUAUUUAUAAUUUCUCAAUCUUUUAUUCAAAGGUGAAGUGUAUGUUGUGCUCCAAGGAAUUGGUGUACAAUAAUAACACUUCAUCUAUGGUAAGGCAUUAUCGUGCCUUUCAUGAGAACAAGGAGCCCAUCCAAGCUACCAGAGAACAAGAGCUGGAUGAGGCCCUGGGCACAAUGAUUGUGAAGGACACAGCCAUUUAGUGUUGUAGAGGAUGUUGGAUUUAGGGACUUUGUUCACAAACUGGACCCAACCUAUGUUCUUCCCACAAGGCAGGCUGUAAAGGCCAUGGUGGAGGCAAAAUAUGCUGAGUCCAAGGAGAAGGCCAAAGCUGUGGUGAAGAAGGUGGCUGCAGUUAGCCUGACAUCUGACAUGUGGACGUCCAUCAACAUGGAUGCCUACCCAGCAGUAACUUGCCACUUUGUGGACAACAACACCCGUCUCAAUUCAGUGUUGUUAGGAGCAGUACAAUUCCCCCAGGCACACACUGCUGAAAAUGUAGUUUGUGUGAAAGCCUCCCUCAUGGAGGAAUGGGGGAUAACCAAUAAUGUAACAUACCUGGUUACAGAUGGUGCUGCUAAUAUGAUAGCCUGUGGCAGGGAACUGAGGCUCCGUCACACAAUCUGCAUCGCACACACUCUUAACCUGAAAGCUCUUGACCAGACCCGGGUGGAACACUUGAGAAGCGUCUGCAAGGUGUGUUCCUUGACUUUCUUACAAUUUCUGCUUUAUUCGGCUUGUGUUACUACUGCUGUGACAAAUUUGUUAGGUCAUAUAACUUCGGGAAUUCCAUUAUUAAAACUAUUCCAUUAUUAUAACUGUUCUCCGUGUUUUGAGCUCACUAAAAUGUUUAGGUUAAAGCCAGCGUGGAUGCCGUUCACAAAAAGAGGGCUUGCGAAGAGCCGUGCCAGUGGAAAGAUUUUGGGCACCGCUUGCGCACCACCUCCGUGCCGCCAACGAAACCCUCGCUUUUUGAAGCUUACCGCAUGUCUCCCACUGAAAAUGAGCUAGACAUUCACGACUGCCGCUCAAAACUAAUAACAGAGGAUAAUCCGGUGCUUCGAAUCACCUUUACAAAAACAACAUUUAAAUACACCAUAAGAUUAUAUUUGCAUUGACAUUCUGCUUUAACAACCAGCAUAUGAGUUUACCUCCGCUGCUUCUAACAUAUAGCUAGCCUACAUAAUUUGGAUUGAAAGAAUGAAUUCCAAAACCUCAACUGACAUACCCGGGUAUCGUAGACUCGUGAAGUUUUUUUUAACUGUGCAUAUGUGUUUAAAUGAUUUUAAAUACUAGAAACUGUAUUGUGAGCUAUACAUUGGUUGUAUUUACAAUAGGCUAAGCGUUUUAAUGAAAUGAUUUCUUUAACGUUGAAAUUAAA